UGAAUAACACAGGCUGCAGUUUCACUCUGACCUGCACUGAGCUUCUAAUUUGCUUGCUGAAAUUAUCUUUUCUAGAAAAGCACCUGCCCUGAUAUAUGAAGCAAUGAGUUGUGGAGAGCUCAACACUUCCUUUGGAUUUUACCCCAGUGGUUAAUUGUGAUUGCAAUUAAAAUGUGCUCCUGCAAUCUAAUUUGAUUUUGUUUGGCUCCAGUGGCUACAUACAGACCUUACACAUUCUGGCCAUAGAGUGAAGACUUGAAUCCCCCUUGUUUUCUUUUCUGAAUGUUUUCAUGUGAUGAACAGUUUGUCUUUCACUUUCAUGACUGAUAAACUGCAUAGAUUGGACCCAACAGCUCUUCUUGUUUUGUGUUUUCCUGAGCACUCCAAUCACUUUUAUAGGCUCUCCAAUUUAUCAACAUGCUUUUGAAACUGUCUCUCCUAAGCUGUGAAUAUGUAGACCACGGAGGAAAGGAACGCUGGUGAUGCUGCUGUUAUCAAGAUACUCUUAAGGAGCUGAAAUUUGUUUACCACAUGCUGCUAUUCACAGCAUUAUGGGCUAUGAUGAGGCUGCUAGUAGUUCUCUUGAACUAUACAAUCUGUAUGUUUGAAAACCAGCCUGUAGGAGAAACCUUUUCCAGCCAGUAUUGGAAAACCCUGAAGAUGUCUAAACAGCUCAUGGAUGAAGAUACUGUUUCUCAGUGACCAUGGGCUUUGGAAUACACUUUCUCUUCAGACUGGCUACGUUCGCCUGAAAUACAUGAAAGUGGAUGUCUGAUAUGCUCUGCAAGGCACAUUUUUAUAAGUGUUGAGAAGAACCAGCAAAUUGUGCACUUGGAAUCAGGAGAUUAAGCAACCUAUCUUCUAUCUGUUUUUACUGGUUUGGGUCAGUAUAUGAAGGGGGAAACACCUGAGUACUUGCCCAUUUCUGGUCUCAUCCAAAAAUUUGCAAAGACAAGUGACAAAUCCCCUCCCAUGUGCAGCAGUAAAAGUCAGAUGAUAAUGUGAUUCCAGUUAAAAUACCUGCCUAGAUAACUGCCUGAUAACACCUAACUGGUUGUUGGUUUCGGCCAGAGCUGACUUGUUAGUUUCAGCAGUGCUUUCUGACAUGACGGUAUUUGUGCCUAAUUACAUGUUGGUUUGUGGCUUGAAUCCAAGCUCUCCCACCAUCUUCGCUUCCUACUAUUGGAUCAUAUUUCAGAUUGGCCUCAGGCAAAUCAACUGUGUUUUCUCAGGCAAGAAAAGUCAAGCUCCCUGUGGGGAGUUGCUUGACCUUGGACUAUACCUCAUCAAGCAGUAGUAACUCAAGGCAGCUUGGAUUAAGAUCACAGGAAAACAGGCUUUCUACCAGAUUCUGAUGGCUACCACAGAAGUGAUAUAAGGGUCUGCCACUACAGAUUUUCUUCACUCUUAGGAAUAAGCAGUUCUUCAGACUCAAGUGCCUGAGCUCUAUUAUGACCUAAAAAGGAAAGAAAACACAAAAGGCGUCUGCAAUCCUGACAUACCCUGAAGUUCCUUAGCCCCCUUCUGCAAAAUGUACAUGGAUAUGCGGUGUGAGUUAUUGCCAGGAAGACAACUCUCCCAUCCUUCCUCUCGUCUGAAACAUUCACUGUGCAACAAAUUUGUCUGGCUCUUGAAGCAGCCAUCAAUCUGUGCCAUGUCUGCCGCAGCUUGUUAGCAUCCAGGUUGAUAAGCAAUCUGAAUGCCUGCUGAGGACUAAAGUUAUUAUUAAACAUCUGAAAGUAAAGAAAAAUUUACAUACAGAUUUGAAUUCCACACAACUGGAUGGGGAAGAUUUGUGCCUUCACUCAAGCCCACAUUCUUAAACUUGCUGGUGGUAACUGCAGUGGAACAAGGGAUGUGCUUCAAGGUGAAAAUGUAUCAGACAGAAUUCCUUUUGAAAGCUUGAGUUUUGCAGUUUAACUUUGAGUAAACAAUUUGUCAGUGUCUAAUUAUUGUGGAUCUAUUUGCCUUGGUGCAUACUGGCUACCAUUAAAAAUGCUAACAGUUAAAAAGGGAACAGCAGCAUAAAAAGAAAUCUUUCUGUUAAAAAGAAAGCUCUGUUUUCCUUUACUUUACUUUAGGCUGCUCCGAAAGUAAUGCUUUCUAUUUUAUGAUGUUGGUCCACAAUGCCAGAGGCAGAUGUUGGUUGUAUGGCAGUAGAGGUUGAACCUUCCCACCAACAUUCCAUCACACGUUGUUGCAUUAUGACAGAUGGCAGCAAAGGGGCAGUCUGAGACAAUGGGGUCUAACAAGGAAGUGUGUAUGAAGCAAAGGGGUGGGGCUGAAUUCCUCCAUGAGGAAAAAAUGGCUAAUGGUGGAGAAAUGUGUUGAAAAAUAGCUUUUUGUAGCUGAGAAUUUUCUCUAUCAAAUAGUGUUGUUGUGUUCUUUGUAUCUGUUGCGGUUUCCAAGGAAAUAACAUUUCCUUAUAUUUCCAAUAUUUUUGAGCAACCUAUGUACAUGCAGGGUGCCCGGGCCCCACCUCUGCUGUGUCACCUGCUCUCGUGGGGACUGGCAGCUUUACAGAGGUCUCUUCACUCUGUUUUCUUCUCCACGUUUGCAAGCCCUUCUCACAUAGCAAUCCCCAACUCCGCUGCAGAACACAGAUGCAGUGGUGCUGAUCACCUCAGAAAAUGAAGGCAGUAGACAAUUUAUCAUGUAGAUUGUCUCACACGUAUCCCUUAAAAUUCACAUCGUCCAAAUACAGCACUUUAUUUUGGCAAGCGGUUAUGUAUUCAGCUUUUAGGUCUUUACUUCUUGGACGAUUCAGAAUGCAGUAAUUCAGGAAGUAAUAUUUUAAAACAUCUAGUACAAGAAAUGGGGCCACUUUCUCAUACUCUAUUGCAACCAUCCAAAGCUAUUCCUUUCAUAGUCUAAAAGAAAGGGGAAGGGACAAAAAAAUGUUCAGAGGGAACUGCCAGCAAAUGCCAUACAUUUCUAUUUCAUUUUUCUAUCUCUUUUAGUGUUCAACUGUCCUAAGUUCUGAAACAUUUCAUUUAAUAACAUGGUAUUAAUUUUGGGAACACCAGAUCUAGUCCUCUUGCCAAGUACAUGGGACUGGUUUGAUAUCUUAGCAAUGAAUAGCACCUUCACCCUUGACUAUUAUUAACUCUUGUAAUGCUAAGUUGGCAUUAUAAUGUUCACAGGGCUUUUCUCUCCAGACCAAAGAAUGAAAGAUUUUAUCAAGGCAUGAAGUACAUUCCAGCAGUAUGGACAAUUUCUUUAUUGCUUAAAGUGUAGCUUUAAAAAUCUAUAGAUCCUACUUAUGAACAAAAAAUUCCUUAUACAGCUGUAUUGUGUUGUUUCCACAUUUGCUUAAACACAGG
ensembl:lncRNA